rnacentral:rRNA from 1 species
CUUACACAUGCAAGUCGAGCGGUAACAUUUCUAGCUUGCUAGAAGAUGACGAGCGGCGGACGGGUGAGUAACGCGUAGGAAUCUGCCUAGUAGUGGGGGACAACAUGUGGAAACGCAUGCUAAUACCGCAUACGCCCUACGGGGGAAAGGAGGGGAUCUUCGGACCUUUCGCUAUUAGAUGAGCCUGCGUGAGAUUAGCUAGUUGGUGGGGUAAAGGCCUACCAGGGCGACGAUCUCUAGCUGGUCUGAGAGGAUGAUCAGCCACACUGGGACUGAGACACGGCCCAGACUCCUACGGGAGGCAGCAGUGGGGAAUAUUGGACAAUGGGCGCAAGCCUGAUCCAGCCAUGCCGCGUGUGUGAAGAAGGCCUUAGGGUUGUAAAGCACUUUCAGGAGUGAGGAAGGGUGUACGGUUAAUACCCGUAUAUUUUGACGUUAACUCCAGAAGAAGCACCGGCUAACUCUGUGCCAGCAGCCGCGGUAAUACAGAGGGUGCGAGCGUUAAUCGGAAUUACUGGGCGUAAAGCGCGCGUANGCGGUUUGUUAAGUCGGAUGUGAAAUCCCA